rnacentral:rRNA from 1 species
AUGCCGCCAGAAUACAUUAAGGGUUCUGCUAUAUCAAAGAAGUUUGACGUGUUCAGUUUGGGAGCUAUAAUUAUAAGAAUAGUGGAUGGAAACAAGUGUGACUUGCGCUAUUCUUCUAUGGAUGCCCAACAAUUUAUUAAGCAAGUAAGAGAAAAGUGGGAGAGAAGGCUGCAGGGAAGGUCGAGUUAUCAAUCACAUGAAAAAGACAUAGUGCAAGUUAACAAAUGUCUUGAAAUAGCAUUACGAUGUGUGGACGAUGACAGAACUAAAAGGCCUGCUAUAAAGGAUAUUGUCAGUGAACUGGAAGAACUAGAAGCAGAGAUUAAGAAAAUGUCACCCCAUUCUGAUAAGUCAAAAGACCCAAUUGGUCAGUGUGGUGGGGGGUCUUCAGAGGUUCGCAAUCCGAGCUGGUCCAGAGAGGAAGAGGCCUACUUUAGGUAUCUCACUACUUAUCGUCAAGAGGUAGUUGAACAUGAUGCCAAACGGACUUUGCUCGACGACUACCGUGCACAAAAAAUGGAGAACAUGUACUUGGCGAUGGAAAAUGGCACUCGGGCUCCAGCAAUGGGACCACCACCACCCAAUCCUGGACCAGCCCCAGUAAUGCUGACGAUCGAAGAAUUCUUGGCACGUGGUGGCGACGGGACUUUGGGAUCCGGCCACGGAUCAAACAUAGGUGGUACUCCUGGUGAUGGUACUCCUGCUUCACGGAACCCGAUCACCCCACUUCAUAACCCAGGUGGUAAUGCUGGUGGUGCUUCUACCUCGAGCCAUGGAUCGCCUCUUUUUUGA